GAUACCUAUCAAAUAUGCGAUCAGUCAAUUGCGAAGUUGGAACUACCGAGUUUCUUAUAUGUAUUUAGUCUUUAAUCUCCAUCAGAGUAAAAGUCAAACUAUAGAAAGUGAAGCUUGCACUGGAUCUCCUCCACAGGCCGUGGAGCAUCUGUGCUUCCCAAUGUUCCCAAUGUCAGUCCUCGACCCAGCAAAAUUUCUGUCAGAUCAUGUAUGUAUAUACGUUUUAGAGUGUGCAAAGAAAUGCAAAUAAAGAAA
rnacentral:sRNA from 1 species